AGAAUCAACGCUGGCGGCGUGCCUAACACAUGCAAGUCGAACGCGGUUACCCCGUAAGGGGUGACUGAGUGGCGAACGGGUGAGUAACACGUGGGUGACCUGCCUUCGAGUGGGGGAUAACAUCCCGAAAGGGGUGCUAAUACCGCAUGACAUCCUGCCUUUAAAGAGGUGGAGAUUAAAGCUGGGGAUCGUAAGACCUGGCGCUUGAAGAGGGGCCCGCGUCCGAUUAGCUAGUUGGUGGGGUAACGCCUACCAAGGCGACGAUCGGUA
rnacentral:rRNA from 1 species